rnacentral:tRNA from 1 species
GACUCGUGAGCUAGUGGACAAGCUACCUGUCUUCGAAACAGGUUAUCGUAGGUUCGAAUCCUACCGGGUCU